GAUGAACGCUGGCGGCGUGCCUAAUACAUGCAAGUCGUGCGGCAGCGAGCCCUUCGGGGUGUCGGCGAGCGGCGGACGGCUGAGUAACACGUAGGAACAUACCCCAAAGUGAGGGAUAACUGCUCGAAAGAGUAGCUAAUACCGCAUGUGGUCUAAGGAUUAAAGCUUCGGCGCUUUGGGAAUGGCCUGCGUUCGAUUAGCUAGAUGGUGAGGUAAAGGCUCACCAUGGCGACGAUCGAUAGCUGGUCUGAGAGGAUGAUCAGCCAGACUGGGACUGAGACACGGCCCAGACUCCUACGGGAGGCAGCAGUAGGGAAUUUUCCACAGUGGGCGAAAGCCUGAUGGAGCAACGCCGCGUGCAGGAUGAAUGCCUUAGGGUUGUAAACUGCUUUUAUAUGUGACGAUUAUGACGGUAGCAUAUGAAUAAGGAUCGGCUAACUCCGUGCCAGCAGCCGCCGCGG
rnacentral:rRNA from 1 species